rnacentral:rRNA from 1 species
GUGGGGAAUAUUGGACAAUGGGCGCAAGCCUGAUCCAGCCAUGCCGCGUGAGUGAUGAAGGCCCUAGGGUUGUAAAGCUCUUUCACCGGUGAAGAUAAUGACGGUAACCGGAGAAGAAGCCCCGGCUAACUUCGUGCCAGCAGCCGCGGUAAUACGAAGGGGGCUAGCGUUGUUCGGAAUUACUGGGCGUAAAGCGCACGUAGGCGGACAUUUAAGUCAGGGGUGAAAUCCCGGAGCUCAACUCCGGAACUGCCUUUGAUACUGGGUGUCUGGAGUAUGGAAGAGGUGAGUGGAAUUCCGAGUGUAGAGGUGAAAUUCGUAGAUAUUCGGAGGAACACCAGUGGCGAAGGCGGCUCACUGGUCCAUUACUGACGCUGAGGUGCGAAAGCGUGGGGAGCGAACAGGAUUAGAAACCCGUGUAGUCC